UACAGAGGUCCCGAGCGUUGUUCGGAUUCACUGGGCGUAAAGGGUGCGUAGGUGGCGGGGCAAGUUUGAUGUGAAAGCUCAGGGCUUAACCCUGAAAUGGCAUUGAAUACUGCUUUGCUGGAGGUUUGGAGGGGGGACUGGAAUUCUUGGUGUAGCAGUGAAAUGCGUAGAUAUCAAGAGGAACACCAGUGGCGAAGGCAAGUCCCUGGACAACACCUGACACUGAGGCACGAAAGCUAGGGGAGCAAACAGG
rnacentral:rRNA from 1 species